GAUGAACGCUGGCGGCGUGCCUAAUACAUGCAAGUCGAGCGAACGGACGAUAAGCUUGCUUUUCUGAUGUUAGCGGCGGACGGGUGAGUAACACGUGGAUAACCUACCUAUAAGACUGGGAGAACUUCGGGGAACCGGAGCUAAUACUGGAUAAUAUUUUGAACCGCAUGGUUCAAAAGUGAAAGACGGUCUUGCUGUCACUUAUAGAUGGAUCCGCGCUGCAUUAGCUAGUUGGUAAGGUAACGGCCUACCAAGGCAACGAUGCGUAGCCGACCUGAGAGGGUGAUCAGCCACACUGGAACUGAGACACGGUCCAGACUCCUACGGGAGGCAGCAGUAGGGAAUAUUCCGCAAUGGGCGAAAGCCUGACGGAGCCACACCGCGUGAGUGAUGAAGGUCUUCGGAUCGUAAAGCUCUGUUGUUAGGGAAGAAAAGAUGUGUAAGUAAAUCUCGCCAUCUUGACGGUACCUAAACAAAAAGCCACGGCUAACUACGUG
rnacentral:rRNA from 1 species